GAUGAAGAACGUAGCGAAAUGCGAUAAGUAGUGUGAAUUGCAGAAUUCAGUGAAUCAUCGAAUCUUUGAACGCACAUUGCGCCCCUUGGCAUUCCGAAGGGUAUGCUCGUUUGAGUGUCAUUGUACUCUCACACUCUCCGAUCCUAUGGAUUCGGGGAGCGGUGGACUUGGGUGUUGCUGCCUUUCCCUGUGGCUCACCUCAAAUGCGUCAGUGCACCUCUUGGUUGGACAUAGUACGGCGUGAUAAGUGUCUUCGCCGGCACCUCGCAAGAGGGUGGCCGAUCGGGAGCUCUGCGCUUUCAAACCGUCUUCGGACAAUUUCUGACAUCUUGACCUCAAAUCGAGUAGGACUACCCGCUGAACUUAAGCAUAUCAAUAAGCGGAGGA
rnacentral:misc_RNA from 1 species